AACCUAGAUGGACAUGGAUCAACAAAGAUGUUACACUCUCCAAGAGCCACUCCCCGCUGUAGUCGUCGAGGCCUCCUCCGUCGCGGGAGGCCGUGGAUGAGAUGAAGGAGGCAUCAUCUUCUGCUGAAGGACCAUCGCCCUCCUGGCCUCCUCGUAAAGUGCAUACCUCUAAUGCUCUUCCCUUAGUUGUGAGCUUGUAGAGUGGUCAAAGAGACCAAAAGUUUUCCACUGCUAUUAUUUGGCUCUUCUUUCAAGGGGAGCGAUACAACCUGAAGCUUUCAUGUUAUUCCCCUAGCUUUUACUCUAAUGGUACUUCAAAUGGUUCCCAUGGAGGUGAGGGUGCCCAUGUUAAUUAUUUGCUGAGUAACUCUGGUUUUCCAAUUGAAUUGGGUCGCAUGAAGAAUUUGCGCACAUUGGAUCAAUUUGAUUGCUAAACAUUGGACAACAUGUUGACAAAUGCUUUUCGUGGCUGGAACCAUCAACACAAAACUCAAAUCAGCUAUGGGUUUGUAAGAUUCGGGAGCUAUCGACGAAGAUGCAGAUAAUGCAAGAGAAUGGCACUUCAGUUUCUUUAUGAUGUCGAGGUAUGUUUUGGCAUGCAGAGAAACUUAGUAUUGGUUUUGGUGGAAUACGAUUAUCUUACUUAGGGGUUUCCUGACCAAGUUUGUCAUCUUGUUUGUUCCAAAUAUUCAGUUUAGGGCUGUUAUGUAUGUUCUCUACAACGUAACAAUUCAUCUGCAUAUGAGCAAUCAUAUUUUCAUAUGCAAAUUAAUAAAAUUUACUUGUUAUUAUACCACACACAUUCAGAAGGUGAGAAUGGAAACUUAACCUUCCAUAGAUCAGCAUAAUAGAAGCUACUGAUUAUCCUAGAAACUAACUUAGGCACUCAAUUUCUCUGAGACAGUCACAAAAUGCAUCAUGGAAAUACAAAAAUACGUCAGUAAUCAUGGAAAAUAACUGAAGGAAUGAAAUACGAUAAGUCGAUAGUAUCCAUGCAAGGGAAACAUUAUGCAAUGAACAAUGGACAACAUUUAAAGCGGUCAUUUCUUGUAGCAUUUGAACUUGCCCUAUUUUUGCAGCGAUACCAGUUAGCCCCAACUAAAAAGCUCAUUCAUAGCUAAUCUACGA